rnacentral:rRNA from 1 species
UGCUAGGUGGAUUAGUGGCGAACGGGUGAGUAAUACGUGAGUAACCUACCUUUAACUCUGGGAUAAGCCUGGGAAACUGGGUCUAAUACCGGAUACGACCAAUCUCCGCAUGGGGUGUUGGUGGAAAGCGUUAUGUAGUGGUUAUAGAUGGGCUCACGGCCUAUCAGCUUGUUGGUGAGGUAACGGCUCACCAAGGCGACGACGGGUAGCCGGCCUGAGAGGGUGACCGGCCACACUGGGACUGAGACACGGCCCAGACUCCUACGGGAGGCAGCAGUGGGGAAUAUUGCACAAUGGGCGCAAGCCUGAUGCAGCGACGCCGCGUGAGGGAUGACGGCCUUCGGGUUGUAAACCUCUGUUAGCAGGGAAGAAGAGAGAUUGACGGUACCUGCAGAGAAAGCGCCGGCUAACUACGUGCCAGCAGCCGCGGUAAUACGUAGGGCGCGAGCGUUGUCCGGAAUUAUUGUGCGUAAAGAGCUUGUAGGCGGUUUGUCGCGUCUGCUGUGAAAGGCCGGAGCUUAACUCCGUGUAUUGCAGUGGGUACGGGCAGACUAGAGUGCAGUAGGGGAG